rnacentral:rRNA from 1 species
UAGGGAAUAUUGGACAAUGGGCGAAAGCCUGAUCCAGCAAUGCCGCGUGAGUGAUGAAGGCCUUAGGGUUGUAAAGCUCUUUUACCCGGGAUGAUAAUGACAGUACCGGGACGAAUAAGCCCCGGCUAACUCCGUGCC